ensembl:lncRNA
UGUGUAUGGAACACUUCUCCUUUUGGAAAAAAGUCAAAGGCUGGUAAGAUGCUGGAGACCACAAUGCUGCAAUUCUCCUGAAAGGUCGUUUAGUUUAAUAAGCUACAUGAAAUCCAUUUUUUGGAGCAAAAUGUUCAAAAUAUAGUGAGACAAAAAAUUAUAUAUAUAGUAAGAAGUGUAUGUUACAAGAGAACUAGAUGGGACUCUGCUUUUCUAGACACGAAAUAACUACACAUAAAUAUUUUUGGUGUGUGUCUAAAAUUUAGUGUUCACUGUAGAUAUACACACCUGUAUUUCAAGGAAAAAAAUUACAAGAAGAAAUAAAAUCUUCCCUGGAUGGUGGAAGUAUGAGGAAUUAAAUUUCAAAUAAAUGUUUAGGUUUUGCUAUAAAGGUUUAUUUUUAUAAACUGAUAAAACCAGGGUCUUUUCCAGAGUUCUCCUAUGGUACAGCAGGUUAGGGAUCCAGCAGUGGCAUGGGUUUGCUCCCUGGCUGGUGAACUUCCAUAUGCUGCAACUGCAGCCAAAAAAUCAGCAACGGGAGUUCCCUUCGUGGCUCAGUGGUUAAUGAACCCAACUAGUAUCCAUGAGGGUGCAGGUUCGAUCCCUGGCCUCAUUCAGUGGAUUAAGGAUCCGGCAUUGCCAUGAGCUCAAGGGCAGGGAUCGAACCCGCAACCUCAUGGUUCCCAGUCGGAUUCGUUAACCACUGCGCCACAACGGGAACUCCCGGAAUGCAGCCAAUUCUUGAAACAAUUUUGAAAAUAGGACUGAUUAUAAACCUUGCAGGUCUCUGUGCAACACCCCUACUCUCCUGAUCAAAAAGUCAAACUCAGCAGACCUUGUCCAAGACGUGAGGGCUAUUAACAAGACAGUCCAAGAUUUGCAGCAUGAGGUACCUAACUAUUCUGGGAGAACACAGCUGGUGCUCAGUUCUGGACUCAAAAGAUGUUUCUCUGCACCCCUAUUUUCUGUAUCCCUAUUGCAGAAGCAGCACAGCAGCGGUUUGCUUUCGAAUGGCAGGACCCAGAAACACAGGUGGUCCAACAGUACUGUUGGACAGUCCUGCCUCAAGGACUGUCCCUUCCUUGUUUGGGGAAAUGCUGGCCGGGGACCUCAGAAACUUCACACUGAAUGAAGGACUCUUACUCCAGUAUGUGGACGAUUUGCUCAUAGCAAGCCCUUCGUAGAACAAGUGUCUACAAAACACCUCCGGAAUCCUGCACCAUGUGGACACUUGUGGAUAUGAGGUCUACCAGCAAAGGCCACGUGUGAAGUCAUGUAGCUGGGUUUUGUCCUUUCCAAGGUCAGUGGGGUCCUUUGCCUGAGAGACAAAACAGGCAACUGCAGUUCAGCAGAAACAAAUCCGACUAGUUUCCAUGAGGACGCAGGUCUGAUGCCUGGCCUCACUCAGUGGGUUAAGGAUCCGGCUUGCCGUGAGUAGAAGGCAUGGCUCAGGUCUGGUGUUGCUGUGGCUGUGGUGUAGGCUGGCGGCUCACACAGCUCCGAUUUGACCCCUAGCCUGGGAAGCUCCACGCGCCGCAGACAUGGCCCUAAAAAGACAAAAAGCAGCAGUCCAUAAGCCCUCACGAGUAGCCGUAAUGCAUUGCCCAGGCCACCAAAGGGUGAAACUCACGUAAUAAAAGGCAACCGGACAGCUGACCAAGUGGCAAAGCAGCAAAAGAAGGGGAUUAUCAAGCUGUGACAGGGUCACUUCUCCCAGAGUGACUUGGUGAAAUACCACCUGUGUAUUCAGAAAAGGAGAGAGGGGCUCACACUUGCCCACACCUCAACUAGCUGGAAAGGCAGUGUGCAGGCACCUGCUU